rnacentral:tRNA from 1 species
GGGGAUGUAGCUCAUAUAGUAGAGUGUUCGCUUAGGAUGCGAGAGGUAUGGGGAUCGAUACCUCACAUUUCCA